AUUGAACGCUGGCGGCAGGCCUAACACCUGCAAGUCGAACGAGUGGCGGACGGGUGAGUAAUGUCUGGGAAACUGCCCGAUGGAGGGGGAUAACUACUGGAAACGGUAGCUUAUACCGCAUACCAUCGGAUGUGCCCAGAUGGGAUUAGCGAGUGGGUGGGGUAACGGCUCACCUUGGCGACGAUCCCUAGCUGGUCUGAGAGGAUGACCAGCCAAACUGGAACUGAGACACGGUCCAGACUCCUACGGAGGGCAGAGGUGGGGAAUAUUGGACAAUGGGCGCAAGCCUGAUGCAGCCAUGCCGCGUGUAUGAGGAAGGCCUUCGGGUUGUAAAGUACUUUCAGCGGGGAGGCGUUACCCGCAGAAGAAGCACCGGCUAACUCCGUGCCAGCCGCCGCGGUAAUUC
rnacentral:rRNA from 1 species